UAGAAUCUUUCUCAUUUUUAAUGAGUAUAGAUUUCUAUUUGUUAUAAAGAUGCUAGUCCUUUCAUGAUUAUGUGAUAGGUGGUGCAUGGCCGUUCUUAGUUCGUGGAGUGAUCUGUCUGCUUAAUUGCGUUUCACUAAGGUCCCAGUAAUCUAAGGUAUGCUCGUCUACUUAUCUCAUAUGACGCUGAUAGACCCCUCGUAAGAGCGCGUUGUCUAUUGCGUUAAUAUAUGUAACAAGUGACACAUACUGUUGGGAUCUGAAAGCAACGAACGUGACCGCAACGUCUUGUUGCCUUUCUAAUUUAUUCUAAUUCUUUUGUAAUUAGUUUAAUAACAAAGGCUAUUCUUUAAACUAGACGGACCGCUGUUUCUCUUUUAAACCAGAGGAAGGUUGCGGCAAUAACAGGUCUGUGAUGC
rnacentral:rRNA from 1 species